AGUGAACGCUGGCGGUAGGCCUAACACAUGCAAGUCGAACGGCAGCACAGUAAGAGCUUGCUCUUACGGGUGGCGAGUGGCGGACGGGUGAGGAAUACAUCGGAAUCUACUUUUUCGUGGGGGAUAACGUAGGGAAACUUACGCUAAUACCGCAUACGACAUACGGGUGAAAGCAGGGGAUCUUCGGACCUUGCGCGAUUGACUGAGCCGAUGUCGGAUUAGCUAGUUGGCGGGGUAAAGGCCCACCAAGGCGACGAUCCGUAGCUGGUCUGAGAGGAUGAUCAGCCACACUGGAACUGAGACACGGUCCAGACUCCUACGGGAGGCAGCAGUGGGGAAUAUUGGACAAUGGGCGCAAGCCUGAUCCAGCCAUACCGCGUGGGUGAAGAAGGCCUUCGGGUUGUAAAGCCCUUUUGUUGGGAAAGAAAAGCAGCAGGUUAAUACCCCGCUGUUCUGACGGUACCCAAAGAAUAAGCACCGGCUAACUUCGUG
rnacentral:rRNA from 1 species